rnacentral:rRNA from 1 species
AGUCGAACGGCAGCGAGAAGAAAGCUUGCUUUCUUUGUCGGCGAGUGGCGAAAGGGUGAGUAAUGUAUCGGAACGUACCCAGUAGCGGGGGAUAACUACGCGAAAGCGUGGCUAAUACCGCAUACGCCCUACGGGGGAAAGGGGGGGAUCGCAAGACCUCUCACUAUUGGAGCGGCCGAUAUCGGAUUAGCUAGUUGGUGGGGUAAAGGCCCACCAAGGCAACGAUCCGUAGCUGGUUUGAGAGGACGACCAGCCACACUGGGACUGAGACACGGCCCAGACUCCUACGGGAGGCAGCAGUGGGGAAUUUUGGACAAUGGGGGCAACCCUGAUCCAGCCAUCCCGCGUGUGCGAUGAAGGCCUUCGGGUUGUAAAGCACUUUUGGCAGGGAAGAAACGACGCCGGAUAAUACCUGGUGUUAAUGACGGUACCUGCAGAAUAAGCACCGGCUAACUACGUGCCAGCAGCCGCGGUAAUACGUAGGGUGCAAGCGUUAAUCGGAAUUACUGGGCGUAAAGCGUGCGCAGGCGGUUCGGAAAGAAAGAUGUGAAAUCCCAGAGCUUAACUUUGGAAUGGCAUUUUUAACUACCGGGCUAGAGUAU